GAUCUCAAUGGACACUGAAUUUUGCAACAGAUAACCAUGAAACAUAUGCCAUGUAAGGACACAGCAAGAAGGCGGCAGUCUAUAAGCCAGGAAGAAGUCCCUCACCAGGGACCAAAUAGGCCAGCUCCUUGACCUUGGACUUCCUGGCCUCCAGAAUGUGGUCUGGAAGAGAACCCAAAAAAUCUACAUGGUGUGCCUAUACCAGAAAUUUGCUAAGAGAACAGAUUUCAG